AGAUAUUGCGUGAGUGUAAAAAUUUCAAGUAAAAAAAAAAUUACUUAAAAAGGUAUUCCGAGAAUAAUAUAAAUGACCUCACAAGAUGAGAUAAUUAUUUUACAUAUAGCAUACAAGAGACGGGGUUAUCUAUGUAAAGGAAGGUGGAUUGCUCAUCACAUAGAUGUUGAACAGUUACCUUGUUUCAAAGCUGGGCAGCAUGUUGGAAAAGCUACCUGUGGAUUGCUCAUCACAUGGAUGUUGAAAAGGUACCUUGUUGGAAAAGGUACCUGUGAAUUGCACCACAUAGAUGUUGAAAAGGUACCUUGUUUCAAAGUUGGGCAGCAUGUUGGAAAAGGUACCUGUGGAUUGCUCAUCACAGGCUCAUCACAGGAGGUACCUUGUUGAAAAGGCACCUCCUGCAGAUCUUGAGGUUGAACAGAUAUUUGAAGUGGGCGAGUGGGAGAAACUGAGAGAAGAUGUUCGUAACUGGAAAUCUGUUGGACCAGGCAGUGUUGGUGUCGUACAGGGUAUAAGAUAACUGGGGAAGCUUAUAUGUUGGUUUUAGUGGGGAGCAAGAAAGAUGGGCGGGACCUACCUCCCAUCUUGAAAGAGCUGAAAGACUCGUGACUGGGCAGAAGGUUAGGGUUAAACUUUCUGUGAAGCAGCCAGGGUUUGGAUGGUCAGGCCACACUCAUGGAAGUGUUGAGACCAUAUCAGCAAUUGAUGGAAAGCUGAGAUUAUAUACUCCAGUAGGCUCCAUGGAUGCUUGAUCCAUCAGAAGUGGAGCUGGUAGAGGAUGAAGAACUUCACAUUGGAGACUGGGUGAAGGUUAGGGCGUCUGUUUCAACACCAACACACCAGUGGGGAGAGGUGAACCAUUCAAGCGUCGGAGUGGUGCAUCGGAUGGAAAAUGGGGACCUACGGGUUGCGUUCUGUUUCAUGGAGCUGGCAAGAAAAGUAUUUGUAGGCCAUUUGUAUCUCAUAGAUGACAUUGCUAGUUGAUAAGCUUUUUUGAGGUAUAUAUACAUUGGCAUCUGUAUGUGUUUUUGUACAAAUUAAACCCGUAUAAUCUGACCCUGCUGAUACUUCUUUGAAGUUAUAUUCUAGCGCUCUGCUUUUCCGGCUCUUCUUUCACCGCACUCACCUGGCAGUGAACAAAGGCUGCAUAAAAAAGACAGUAAUACAUGUCUCUUUUAUUCUAACUAUCUUUGUCGGUAACCAAAUGCUACUACUAACAUAC
rnacentral:lncRNA from 1 species